AGUGAACGCUGGCGGUAGGCCUAACACAUGCAAGUCGAACGGCAGCACAGUAAGAGCUUGCUCUUACGGGUGGCGAGUGGCGGACGGGUGAGGAAUACAUCGGAAUCUACUUUUUCGUGGGGGAUAACGUAGGGAAACUUACGCUAAUACCGCAUACGACCUACGGGUGAAAGCAGGUGAUCUUCGGACCUUGCGCGAUUGAAUGAGCCGAUGUCGGAUUAGCUAGUUGGCGGGGUAAAGGCCCACCAAGGCGACGAUCCGUAGCUGGUCUGAGAGGAUGAUCAGCCACACUGGAACUGAGGCACGGUCCAGACUCCUACGGGAGGCAGCAGUGGGGAAUAUUGGACAAUGGGCGCAAGCCUGAUCCAGCCAUACCGCGUGGGUGAAGAAGGCCUUCGGGUUGUAAAGCCCUUUUGUUGGGAAAGAAAAGCAGCAGGUUAAUACCCCGCUGUUCUGACGGUACCAAAAGAAUAAGCACCGGCUAACUUCGUG
rnacentral:rRNA from 1 species